UUCCCCACCAGGCUUCUAAACUUGUUGAGAAAUAAGAAAACAGAGAAGUAGAGGGUAAGUAUCACCUUGAUUGUAAGAAGAAGCCACCUUGGAAGAUGUGGCUGUAAGUCCUCCACCAAUCAUGACAAUGUUGAACUGGGACAGGCCUCCCAGUUUGGCUGGCAUCAACAAAAACACAGAGGAUUUACUUUCCAGGAGCCUGUCCCAACACUGGACCCAUGGGAAAAACGAUGUUCAUUAAAAGCAAGAUGGGAGCAGACCCUGACCCAAUGGGACAAAGAAUGCUACUAUUAAUUUCAGCAAAGGAAAUACACAUUUCCCACAUGCUAAUUCAAGUAUACAGACAUCUGAACUCAACCAUGGAAGCUGGUGGCAGACUGUUCAACCUUUGGGGUGAUGAUCUAUAGGACAUUGUUUGUAGGCUGAUUUGAUAAAUGUUGCAUGCAUUGAAAGGGAGCUGCUCACUUUGGAAAAACCUAACUCGGUAAAUUCAUCUUGGUUCUGAAUACAUGUUUUGAGCUCCUUUUUGUCUUGAACUGGACACUUUAGACUGUGUCCUUGAUGGAUCAGGAGGCAAUGGAAUGCGGUAAGGGGAGAAAGAAUGUUUGCUGCUGGCCAGAUCUUC